rnacentral:sRNA from 1 species
UGCUGUAUUGCCUUGUACAAUUUACUUGACUUCUCUAAACUUUAAAGAUGGAGAGAUAAUGUCUGCUUCAGGGUUAUUCAAAUCUCCUGUUCCCGUUAACUCUGAUGAUAGUCCUCAACAAACUUCAAGGGCAAAGAGUGCUAAAGGGGUUCUUGAAGACUUUCUAAAUAAUGAUAAUCAGAGCUGUACUCUUUCUGGAGGCAAACAUCAUGGUCCUGUUGAAGCCCUGAAACAAAUGUUAUUUAACCUUCAAGCAGUACAAGAACGUUUUAAUCAAAAUAAGAGCACAGAUCCAAAAGAAGAGAUUAAACAAGUUUCAGAAGAUGAUUUCUCUAAAUUACAGUUGAAGGAAAGUAUGAUUCCUAUUACUAGGUCACUUCAGAAGGCUUUGCACCAUUUAUCUCGCCUGAGAGACCUGGUUGAUGAUACGAAUGGAGAACAGUCACCGAAAAUGUGAAGAGG